GUUCCCGUGGAGGAAUGAAAGAGAUCAAGGGGAAGAGAGCUGCCAGCUCCCUGGGGCCCUGCACCUGCCAGCUGCCGCUACAUACUCUGAGAAACACUGCUGCCAGCUAGAGGGGAGCACCUGUCCCAGAACCUCAGGACCUGGGACGAGAACCUCUGGGUGACUCCUUGGAACAAUGAAUCGGACCACCUGUGGGUUCCAGCACUCCAGAGCCAGCAGUGCCUUCCUGAACAGCUCCACACCAUUGCUCUUCUUGGAGAAUAUCACCACCUUGAAGCCAGAGACUGAAACUGAAGAAUUCAGCGGUUUAGGCACAGCAGCCACAGCCAUUUCUGUCUCCGUUGGCGUCAUGGCCCUCAUCUUGCUCCUAGUGGGUCUCUUGUCCAUGACCCUGAAGAAAUGGAGGCACGAGAGACUAUUUAAGAAACAACUGAGGCAUCAGACCAACCUUCUCCACAAAUCCUCGGAGCUGUCCUGCCAUGCGGAUGCCAUAUAUUGCAAUGUGAUCAACCUGGCCCCCUGGAAAGAGGAUGACUUCGCCAUCUAUGCCAAUGUGCUCCCUUUUGAUCACCCCAGGAGAACAUCACCAGACCAAGUGGAAUACACCUCUGUGCUGUUCCACUGA
rnacentral:lncRNA from 1 species